rnacentral:rRNA from 1 species
AUACGGAGGGUGCAAGCGUUAUCCGGAUUCAUUGGGUUUAAAGGGUCCGUAGGCGGACUAUUAAGUCAGAGGUGAAAUCCCACAGCUCAACUGUGGAACUGCCUUUGAUACUGGUAGUCUUGAGUUAUAUGGAAGUAGAUAGAAUGUGUAGUGUAGCGGUGAAAUGCAUAGAUAUUACACAGAAUACCGAUUGCGAAGGCAGUCUACUACGUAUAUACUGACGCUAAGGGACGAAAGCGUGGGGAGCGAACAGGAUUAGAUACCCUAGUAGUCC